UCCAGACUCCUACGGGAGGCAGCAGUGGGGGAUAUUGCACAAUGGGGGGAACCCUGAUGCAGCGACGCCGCGUGGGUGAAGGAGCGUUUCGGCGCGUAAAGCCCUCUCGGCAGGGAAGAAGGAGGACGGUACCUGACUAAGAAGCCCCGGCUAACUACGUGCCAGCAGCCGCGGUAAUACGUAGGGGGCAAGCGUUAUCCGGAUUUACUGGGUGUAAAGGGGGCGCAGACGGCAGCGCAAGCCAGGAGUGAAAGCCCGGGGCCCAACCCCGGGACUGCUCUUGGAACUGCGCGGCUGGAGUGCAGGAGGGGCAGGCGGAAUUCCUGGUGUAGCGGUGAAAUGCGUAGAUAUCAGGAGGAACACCGGUGGCGAAGGCGGCCUGCUGGACUGCGACUGACGUUGAGGCCCGAAAGCGUGGGGAGCAAACAGGAUUAGAUACCCUAGUAA
rnacentral:rRNA from 1 species